AACCUUUCGUUGGCUGACCUAGAUCCUCAGUUCAGCUUCUCAGCAUGAGGUUUCCUGCUCAGCUCUUGGGGUUGUUAAUGCUCUGGAUCCCUGGAUGCAGUGGGGAGGCAGUGUUAACCCAGUCUCCACCCGCCCUGCUCAUCAGCCCCGGAGAGCCGGCCUCCAUCUCCUGCAGGUCCAGUCAGAGCCUCCUGCAUAGCAAUGGAAACACCUAUUUGCACUGGUACCUGCAGAAGCCAGGCCAGUCUCCGCGGCUUCUUAUCUACAAGGUUUCUAACAGAGACUCUGGCAUCCCAGACAGGUUCAGUGGCAGUGGGUCAGGGACGGAUUUCACUCUUAAAAUCAGUAGGGUAGAGGCUGAGGAUGUUGGAGUUUAUUACUGUGGGCAAAGUACAAAAAUUCCUCACACAGUGAUACAGCCCCGAACAUAAACCUCCCUGGGUGGG